rnacentral:rRNA from 1 species
GACGAACGCUGGCGGCGUGCUUAACACAUGCAAGUCGAACGGAAAGGCCCUGCUUUUGUGGGGUGCUCGAGUGGCGAACGGGUGAGUAACACGAGAGUAACCUGCCCUUGACUUUGGGAUAACUUCAGGAAACUGGGGCUAAUACCGGAUAGGAGCUCCUGCUGCAUGGUGGGGGUUGGAAAGUUUCGGCGGUUGGGGAUGGACUCGCGGCUUAUCAGCUUGUUGGUGGGGUAGUGGCUUACCAAGGCUUUGACGGGUAGCCGGCCUGAGAGGGUGACCGGCCACAUUGGGACUGAGAUACGGCCCAGACUCCUACGGGAGGCAGCAGUGGGGAAUAUUGCACAAUGGGCGGAAGCCUGAUGCAGCAACGCCGCGUGCGGGAUGACCGCCUUCGGGUUGUAAACCGCUUUCGCCUGUGACGAAGCGUGAGUGACGGUAAUGGGUAAAGAAGCACCGGCUAACUACGUG